rnacentral:lncRNA from 1 species
CAAUAAAGCGCCGCUGUGCUCAAUGCCUCAUCUAUGAUCGCAUAAGAGGUGCUGUUAAUUUCCAGGGAGUGAGUAAUAAGAACAAGUCCUACAUGUGCCCACCCUCUGCACAGGCACACUUGAACAGCAGGAGCUUCUCUUCCCCACAAGUGCCCUGGAGAUGCUUCUUUUUGAAGAACUGCACCGUGGGACACAUGGCAGUCCCAGCUGCUGCUGUGAAUGCCCCAUAGGAUACAGAGCCUAAAGGGUCAGCUCCUGGUCACACAGAGGCCUCUUGGUAACACACAGAGAGAAGAGGAAAGGAACUUCCCCAAAUCAGUGCCAUGCAAAGUAAAGUGAUGACAGUUAUGGAAAAGUGGAAGUAUAUUUCCUUUGAGGAUUCCCUCCUUUCCCUAAGAAUCCAGUUACUGUUCCUGCUUACAAACGAAUGGAUCAACAAGCAUCUGCUUAAUGCCUGCAAGGGCAAUUCCUUCUGAAAUAUUAAAAGGCUGAGAAGCUGGGCCUGUUAAUGAGGGCUGCUUGAGCAGUAAGUAGAGAGUCUUCUGUGUGUCUGGGGUUGAGCCAAGGAGGGGUCAGAGAAAUGAGCUAAGUUUGCUCCCAACUAAGCUUAAUGUGUU